GGCAGUAUGGUUUAGUGGUUAUCACAUCUGCCUCACACGCAGAAUUUCCCCAGUUCGAGCCUGGGUAGUGUCA
rnacentral:tRNA from 1 species